rnacentral:lncRNA from 1 species
CUCCAAUCAAAAUUAGAGGCUGUGGUGUGGUUUACUGACAGUCAAAAAGCUCUUCAUGAGCUGAAAGUAACUGGGCUGGAAAACCUUUCUGCAUCAUAUAGAGGAGGCACAAGUUAGUAGGCAAAGUUCAGAGGCAGCUGGAGUUUGCUUGCCUCCCACACAGACUCAUAACUGUAUACAUAGAGAGAGGGCAAAGCAGUCAGAUGGAGCUGCUGGGAAUAGCUCAAAAGCCGAAGGAGAUCUUCUAGUUAAAAUCACAUCUGCUGGUCCCAGCCUUGUAGUCUGAUUCACCUGGAGACCCACCUUGUGAGAGACCCACCUGGAAGGACUCUGGAGGCUUUGAAGACAUCACGGCUUGCAUUUGCAUCCUCUUCACCACCCUCAGAGCUCACUGAAGCAAAUGAGGCUCUGCAGAAAGCUGGCCCUUCUAGGUGGUGGAAGGGGCUUCCAAAUGGACCAAGGAAUCUCACACACAAGCAAACCUGUUGUAUUUUAGCAGUUCAAACUUUUAUAAAAUGUCAAACUCAUCAGUCUCCAAGUCUGGUUCAGCAGAGAAGAAAAGCACAUGCUUAGUUUCAAGGACUUAAGAAAGCAAUUUGCUCAAAGGAGAUCCCCAUGGGGCAUUAGAGCCUUUGUACAGCACUCCAGCUAGAAAUAUCUGGCCCUACUGAAGUCAGCAGCAAAGCUGCCAUUUAUUUGACUGUGACCAGAACUUCACCUCAGUCAUCUUUUUUUUUUUUUUUUUUUUUUUUUUUUGUGGAUAGCCAAUGGGUAAACAUUAAAGUUUGAAGUCACAGUAUUUAUUAUCCUGUAAACAACAUUUUGAUAAGCCAUCCCCUUGCCCUUCCCUGUUCUCAGUUGAAAGACUAACUUUCUUUUACUAUGCAGUAAAAAUAAACCUCCUGUAUCAGGUUCA